ACUAGAACCAGGACCAGGAUCUGCUCCGUUUGGACCCGACCUCCAGCAGAACCUUCUGGACCGCUGCUGGAGUUGUAAUUUAUUUUUGUCUGUAAAUAGAGAUGGCCGCCGCCUCCUCCGCUCCGGUGGGCCUCCUGCUCCUGCUCCUGGUUUCCGUGGAAACGAGGCCUUCACCUCAGCACGAGCAGCGGGUGUUUCUCUCUCUGUUCGGUUCUCGCCUCGCCUCCCUCAUGGAGGCCACGCCCCCGCCUGAUGACAUCACAGAGGGCUCCGCCUCCUCGCCAACCUCCCCGCCUCUGCUGCUGGCCCUGAGUCGCCACGGUAACGUGAGCGGAUUGGCUGGCAGACAGGAAGUGGUGCCCCGGCUCUUCCUGGACUUCCUGCGGUGGCGGGCGAAGACGAGGAGGCGGAGCCACAAGGCCACGGCGGGAGGAAGAGGAUGCUUCGGGAUGAAGCUGGACCGCAUCGGCUCCAUCAGCGGCCUGGGCUGCUAGGGACGGUUACCAUGGAAACACCGCUGCUUCUCGCAACUGAAGAUGACCCUGCAUGACCUCUGACCUCCAGGCGGAGAUUUCAUGCUGGACGAUACUAACCAGAGCCGGCUGAGCUCAGGAUGAUGCUAAUGCUAGUGACCUUUGACCUGCCGGCUGCCUGCAGCCAGCAGAGAUAUGUGUGACCUGUAGGUGUGUGUAGGUGUGUGUUAGCGCUGACGAAGAAUUAAACUGAACCUGAUCUCCACUUUCUGCCUCUUUCCUCAUGAUACCAUCAGUUCAGUUCUGUUCUGUUCGGUUCUGUGACAUCAGUCCCUCCUGCACUAAAUCAGUACCACAGCAUCAUGCUGCCACCACCAUACCUCACA